GACGUAGGGCGCGAGCGUUUGUCCGGAAUUAUUGGGCGUAAAGGGCUCGUAGGCGGUUUGUCGCGUCGGGAGUGAAAUCCACUGGCUUAACUGGUGGCUUGCUUUCGAUACGGGCAGACUGGAGGUAUGCAGGGGAGAACGGAAUUCCUGGUGUAGCGGUAAAAUGCGCAGAUAUCAGGAGGAACACCGGUGGCGAAGGCGGUUCUCUGGGCAUGUCCUGACGCUGAGGAGCGAAAGUGUGGGGAGCGAACAGG
rnacentral:rRNA from 1 species